GUUCAAGAUCACCCAAAUUGAGGUAAACGUCGAAGGUAUCAACGUCAACAAAAGCAAAUCUUAAUCGAACAUAACCUACAUGGAUAAAACUAUAAACCAUGGAAUACGCUCUGUACAUUGCAAUGGAAGCAUCGUGUGAUUUCCCUGAGAAAACAUGCAGCAAAUUGGGUGAUGGUGGUGCCUAGUUCUUCUGCAGAACUUUCCCAUGCCGAAGCAGAUGUUCUUCUAAGGGACACCCUAGAGACAGCAACUCCAAACAUUUAAAGGCACAGUUUCCCUCCCUAGUGUAAUUGGGAUGGACAGGGAAGACCGCAUUACAACCCUUAAAGAACUACGGUUGUAUGAUGGAGGGGGAAGACCACAUUACAACCCUUAAAGAACUACGGUUGUAUGAUGGAGGGGGAAGA